rnacentral:rRNA from 1 species
CCUACGGGUGGCAGCAGUGAGGAAUAUUGGUCAAUGGGCGAGAGCCUGAACCAGCCAAGUCGCGUGAGGGAAGACGGUCCUACGGGUUGUAAACUUCUUUUAUAAAGGAAUAAAGUGAGGCACGUGUGCCUUUUUGUAUGUACUUUAUGAAUAAGGAUCGGCUAACUCCGUGCCAGCAGCCGCGGUAAUACGGAGGAUCCGAGCGUUAUCCGGAUUUAUUGGGUUUAAAGGGAGCGUAGAUGGGUUGUUAAGUCAGUUGUGAAAGUUUGCGGCUCAACCGUAAAAUUGCAAUUGAUACUGGCAGCCUUGAGUACAGUUGAGGUAGGCGGAAUUCGUGGUGUAGCGGUGAAAUGCUUAGAUAUCACGAAGAACUCCGAUUGCGAAGGCAGCUUACUAAACUGCCACUGACAUUGAUGCUCGAAAGUGUGGGUAUCAAACAGGAUUAGAUACCCCUGUAGUC